UGAAACCAAGCUGGCGACCGGCGCACGGGUGAGUAACACGUAUCCACCUGCCUCUACUCGGGGAUAGCCUUUCGAAAGAAAGAUUAAUAUCCGAUAGCCCCGCAUGGGUAAAGAAUUUCGGUUGUCGAUGGGGAUGCGUUCCAUUAGGCAGUUGGCGGGGUAACGGCCCACCAAACCUACGAUGGAUAGGGGUUCUGAGAGGAAGGUCCCCCACAUUGGAACUGAGACACGGUCCAAACUCUACGGGAGGCAGCAGUGAGGAAUAUUGGUCAAUGGACGAGAGUCUGAACCAGCCAAGUAGCGUGAAGGAUGACUGCCUAUGGGUUGUAAACUUCUUUUAUACGGGAAUAAGUUAGCCACGUGUGGUUUUUUGUAUGUACCGUAUGAAUAAGGAUCGGCUAACUCCGUGCCAGCAGCCGCAGUAAUACGGAGGAUCCGAGCGUUAUCCGGAUUUAUUGGGUUUAAAGGGAGCGUAGGCGGGUUGUUAAGUCAGUUGUGAAAGUUUGCGGCUCAACCGUAAAAUUGCAGUUGAUACUGGC
rnacentral:rRNA from 1 species